rnacentral:rRNA from 1 species
GACGAACGCUGGCGGCGUGCCUAAUACAUGCAAGUAGAACGCUGAAACUUGGUGCUUGCACCGAGCGGCUGAGUUGCGAACGGGUGAGUAACGCGUAGGUAACCUGCCUGGUAGCGGGGGAUAACUAUUGGAAACGCUAGCUAAUACCGCAUAAGAGUAGAUGUUGCAUUACAUUUGCUUAAAAGGUGCAAUUGCACCACUACCAGCUGGACCUGCGUUGUAUUAGCUAGUUGGUGGGGUAACGGCUCACCAAGGCGACGAUACAUAGCCGACCUGAGAGGGUGAUCGACCACACUGGGACGGGGACGCGGGCCAGACUCCUUCGGGAGGCAGCAGUAGGGAAUCGUCGGCAAUGGACGGAAGUCUGACCGAGCAGCGCCGCGUGAGUGAAGAAGGUUUUCGGAUCGUAAAGCUCUGUUGUAAGAGAAGAACGAGUGUGAUAGUGGAAAGUUCACACUGUGACGGUAUCUUACCAGAAAGGGACGGCUAACUACGUG